GCUUCUCUUCAUUGCCAAGGCAUAUUCUCUCUAUUCACCCUUGCAUAAAUUGUUGCUAGAUAGCUAAAUGCUAAUUAAGCUUUUAACAUUCAAGGGUAGCAAUGGCUACGGGAAGUAUUUAUGUAGCUGUGCCUGCUCUUGCUGCUGCUGUUGGAUUUUAUUUCAUAGAUACAAACCAUGUUAAGGAAAUCAGAAAAGAGUUUUCAGUAUCCAAUAACAAAAUGAAAGAUCAAGAGAAGAGAACUCAACAUCCGAAAAUGGCACCACAGCUUGAUGGUUUGCAUUGUUUUGAAACCUUGGUGAUGAAUUAAUUUGUAUAUAUCUAACUUGUGCGGAAUGAUAGAUAUUUGUUACUCAUUCUAUUGUAUUUCAUCCUCAUAAGCUUUUUCUUUCUUCAAUUUAUUUAACAUAAACUUUCAUAUUGUAUCCUGCACAAUAAAAAUUCACACUAUAUUUCACAA